rnacentral:rRNA from 1 species
CCAGACUCCUACGGGAGGCAGCAGUGGGGAAUAUUGGGCAGUGGGCGCAAGCCUGACCCAGCAACGCCGCGUGAAGGAAGAAGGCUUUCGGGUUGUAAACUUCUUUUCUCAGGGACGAAGCAAGUGACGGUACCUGAGGAAUAAGCCACGGCUAACUACGUGUCAGCAGCCGCGGUAAUACGUAGGUGGCAAGCGUUAUCCGGAUUUACUGGGUGUAAAGGGCGUGUAGGCGGGAAAGCAAGUCAGAUGUGAAAACCAUGGGCUCAACCUGUGGCCUGCAUUUGAAACUGUUUUUCUUGAGUACUGGAGAGGCAGACGGAAUUCCUAGUGUAGCGGUGAAAUGCGUAGAUAUUAGGAGGAACACCAGUGGCGAAGGCGGCCUGCUGGACAGCAACUGACGCUGAGGCGCGAAAGCGUGGGGAGCAAACAGGAUUAGAUACCCCUGUACCG